rnacentral:rRNA from 1 species
GACGAACGCUGGCGGCGCGCUUAACACAUGCAAGUCGAGCGAGAACCAGGACUUCGGUCCUGGGGACAGCGGCGAACGGGUGAGUAACACGUGGAUAACCUGCCCUCGGCACCGGGAUAGCCCGAGGAAACUCGGAUUAAUACCGGAUAGCCCUUCCGACUCUCGAGUCGGUCCGAAAAGGUAGCUUCGGCCUCUGGCCGGGGAUGGGUCCGCGGCGGAUUAGCUUGUUGGUGGGGUAACGCCUACCAAGGCAUCGAUCCGUAGCUGGUCUGAGAGGACGAUCAGCCACACUGGGACUGAGACACGGCCCAGACUCCUACGGGAGGCAGCAGUGGGGAAUCUUGCGCAAUGGGCGAAAGCCUGACGCAGCGACGCCGCGUGAGGGAAGAAGGCC